rnacentral:tRNA from 1 species
UCCCCAGUAGCUCAAUUGGCAGAGCAAGCGGCUGUUAACCGCUAGGUUCCUGGUUCAAGUCCAGGCUGGGGAGCCA